ACUUGGUUCAAAACCAACAUUCCCGAGUGGGCCUACACCCCUCCAGGCUAUGUAUUUUUAUAUGGACCUAAACAAAAUAAACUGCCCUGUGAGGGAAGUUCUAAAAGAACUUAUUCAACCCCCUCACUUGUAAACCUUUUUAUCUGCAUAGAUAACACCCAACAUACAGGGGAUGUGCCCUAGGACUCCUGGGGCCACAAGGAACAGGUGUAACCAUCUAUAACAUUACAAAUUCUUAAAAAAGGAGAGCUCUUGGCCUUAUAAUGGUAGGGCUAGGGGCUGCCAUAGGAUUAGCUGCCCCAUACAGAGGAUUCAGUUAUCAUAAAGUCACCCUCCAAAACCUCUCUACACAAAUUGGAGACCUAGGUCAGAGAACUGGGAACAGAAUCUCUAAACUCAAGGCUUCACUGAAUUCAGUAGCUAAUGCAGUCAUGGACAACAGACUAGCUCUAGAUUACCUCCUUGCAGAACAGAGUCGUCUGUGCUGUCAUCAAUAAACCCUAUUGCACUUGUGUCAACAAUAGUGGGCAAGUAGAGGAACAUAUAAAGAGAAUCUGUGACCACGCUAAGUGGCUUCAUGACUCUGGGAAAGAAAAUCCCUCAGCAGAUUCCAUCUGGAACUCUGUAAAAUCUGCUCUCCCAUUGCUCACAUGGUUCCUCCCCUGCUCGAACCAGCUGUCUCCAUACGUCU
rnacentral:lncRNA from 10 species